AGCUAGUUAAUUCUCAGUUUCUGAUUUUCCAUACAGGUUCCUGCAAAAGACCUAAAGAAGGAUCCCAAAAAACCAGUAUGUGGUUGUCCAGGCUAUUUGUCCUCAGUUCACGCUUGAGAAGGUGGUUCUGGUCUCCUUCCAAGUGGUUACCUCUUCAUCCAGACGGACAAAACACAUCUACACACCUGGAUCUUCAGUGCUCUAUCGUGUCUUCUCUUAUGGGUCAUGGCCUGAACGUUUGGACAAAAACGUGAUUGUUGAAUUUGAGACACCAGAUGGCAUUGUUGUCAGCCAGACUAUUACCAAUCCUUCAUUACAGAUCACCCAGUCGUACCAUGUACCUGAGACUGUCAGGUAACUGAUUAUGGAAAUUGCCCUACACCAAGCAUAUACAGAAACUAAGUUGGAACAGCAAUCAGUGAUAUAAGCUUACUAAUAUGUAUAUGGUGCCGUUUAACCCAAUUUUCUGAUUUCAAAUUGAGCUAUGAAAACUCUGAGCAAUCUCACACAUACUGUGUUGCUGUAUUUGCCCAUCAUAUUUUAUCCCCUCCUUUUCAAUAAAGAACUUAGGGUAGUAUAUAUGAGGCAUUAUUCCAUUUUAUUUCUACAAAACCGAGCAAGAAGGGUAGGCAAACAGUAUGGAUGAAGGAAUUUCCAUUAAAACCACCCACGAGCAAGUCAGAAUUUGAACCUGGGGUUUGCGGCAGGGCAGAUUUCAGCUUCUUCAUGUCUG